rnacentral:rRNA from 1 species
ACGUACACUCCUGCGGGAGGCAGCAGUGGGGAAUAUUGGACAAUGGGCGCAAGCCUGAUCCAGCCAUGCCGCGUGAGUGAUGAAGGCCCUAGGGUUGUAAAGCUCUUUCACCGGUGAAGAUAAUGACGGUAACCGGAGAAGAAGCCCCGGCUAACUUCGUGCCAGCAGCCGCGGUAAUACGAAGGGGGCUAGCGUUGUUCGGAUUUACUGGGCGUAAAGCGCACGUAGGCGGACUAUUAAGUCAGGGGUGAAAUCCCGGGGCUCAACCCCGGAACUGCCUUUGAUACUGGUAGUCUUGAGUUCGAGAGAGGUGAGUGGAAUUCCGGGUGUAGAGGUGAAAUUCGUAGAUAUUCGGAGGAACACCAGUGGCGAAGGCGGCUCACUGGCUCGAUACUGACGCUGAGGUGCGAAAGCGUGGGGAGCAAACAGGAUUAGAAACCCUUGUAGACCCAUGAU